UGGGGAAUAUUGCGCAAUGGGCGAAAGCCUGACGCAGCCAUGCCGCGUGAGUGACGAAGGUCUUCGGAUUGUAAAAACUCUUUUUGGCGGGGACGAUAAUGACGGUACCCGCAGAAUAAGCCCCGGCUAACUUCGUGCCAGCAGCCGCGGUAAUACGAAGGGGGCUAGCGUUGUUCGGAAUCACUGGGCGUAAAGCGCACGUAGGCGGAUGUGCCAGUCAGGGGUGAAAUCCCGGAGCUCAACUCCGGAACUGCCUCUGAUACUGCACGUCUUGAGUUCGAGAGAGGUGGGUGGAAUUCCUAGUGUAGAGGUGAAAUUCGUAGAUAUUAGGAAGAACACCGGUGGCGAAGGCGGCCCACUGGCUCGAUACUGACGCUGAGGUGCGAAAGCGUGGGGAGCAAACAGGAUUAGAUACCCAGGUAGUCCCUGAGCGGGCUGGCAAGGCGCAU
rnacentral:rRNA from 1 species